rnacentral:ribozyme from 1 species
AAUCGAAGAAGAAAAUGAAAAGAGAAGAGAAAGGAAUACAAAUUUACUUCUCAAUUGUACAUGUGUGGUGCCAUUGUGUUGUAAAAAGAGGUGUUUUUUAUUCUUAUUUUUUGUGUAGACGGGCUGAUAUU